CCGAUACAGUGAUGAUAACAUAGUUCAGCAGAGUACAUAGUGACGAACACCAGCUUUGUCUUUCGCUCCUAUCUGAUGUAUCUG
ensembl:snoRNA